rnacentral:rRNA from 1 species
UACGUAGGGUGCAAGCGUUGUCCGGAAUUAUUGGGCGUAAAGAGCUCGUAGGCGGUCUGUCGCGUCGGUUGUGAAAACUCGGGGGCUCAACCCCCGAGCCUGCAAUCGAUACGGGCAGACUAGAGUGCUGUAGGGGAGACUGGAAUUCCUGGUGUAGCGGUGAAAUGCGCAGAUAUCAGGAGGAACACCGGUGGCGAAGGCGGGUCUCUGGGCAGUAACUGACGCUGAGGAGCGAAAGCGUGGGGAGCAAACAGG